AGAGUUUGAUCCUGGCUCAGAUUGAACGCUGGCGGCGUGCUUAACACAUGCAAGUCGCGCGUGAAAGGACUUCGGUCCGAGUAAAGCGGCGCACGGGUGAGUAACGCGUGGAUGAUCUACCCAUGAGUUGGGAAUAACGGCUGGAAACGGUCGCUAAUACCGAAUACGCUCCGAUUUCAACUUCGGGGGAAAGGUGGCCUCUGCUUGCAAGCUACUGCUCAUGGAUGAGUCCGCGUCCCAUUAGCUAGUUGGUGGGGUAACGGCCCACCAAGGCGACGAUGGGUAGCCGGUCUGAGAGGAUGACCGGCCACACUGGGACUGGAACACGGCCCAGACUCCUACGGGAGGCAGCAGUGGGGAAUAUUGCGCAAUGGGCGAAAGCCUGACGCAGCGACGCCGCGUGAGGGAUGAAGGUCCUCGGAUCGUAAACCUCUGUCAGGAGGGAAGAACCGCCACGGUGCUAAUCAGCCGUGGUCUGACGGUACCUCCAAAGGAAGCACCGGCUAACUCCGUGCCAGCAGCCGCGGUAAUACGGAGGGUGCGAGCGUUAAUCGGAAUCACUGGGCGUAAAGCGCACGUAGGCUGCUUGGUAAGUCAGGGGUGAAAGCCCGCGGCUCAACCGCGGAAUUGCCUUUGAUACUGCCGAGCUAGAGUCCGGGAGAGGGUAGUGGAAUUCCAGAGGGUAGGAGUGAAAUCCGUAGAGAUCUAAUCGAAUUCCCUUCUAAGCGGCC
rnacentral:rRNA from 1 species